GUAAUGGUGUCUUUAGACACCACCCCUUUUUCUUCGAAAUUUUUU
rfam:Picea glauca, whole genome shotgun sequence.